UUAAUUGAAGCUAAAUUAGAAGCAUUCCACUGUUAAUGGAGAAAAUGGUUUUACCCAAUUAAA
rnacentral:tRNA from 1 species